GCGCGUUCAUGAAGAAGUUGCUGACGGUGUUGAGCUCCAAGCCGAGCUGCUGCGAGAUGGUGACCUGCAUCUCCUUGGACGGCCGCUUAUUCUCCUUGAAGAUGGCGAUCAGCGUGCGUCGCUGCAGGCUGAGACCACCCAGACUUGGCCUCCCUCAGGCACCCAGUGGACCCUCUGGAGCGCAGAACAUCUAAGGAAGAAGACUUUGGAGGAGGAGGAGAGAGUGCAGGGACCACCUCUUCCUCUCCCAGAUGAGCAGACUGGGACUGUGGUGCUGAAGAGGCUGUCCUGCCCUUGUCUCCAUCCCGGAGUUCCAGCUACUCUGUGACCCCAGAAGUGGCCGGUGGUGCAGGUUGUACUAGUGGGUCUCUGCUCCCAGUCUCCUCUCUGUGCUAGCCGUGGUGGCCUACUGGGAUGGCACAGAAAGCUUUUCUUUUGGUUGCAGAACAGCCUGGAACAUGACAUGCUAGAUCAAUGUCCAUACACGUCCGCAGAAAUAAAUGAAUGUUCCCUC